rnacentral:ncRNA from 1 species
AAAAUUAGCGAGGAAAGAAGAUUCUUGUUAAAUUUAAUUCUAGUCUGGCAUUAUAAGAAGACAUAAAAAACUAUAGUAUAAGUGAGAUAUGGUAACAUCGCUGAUGAAAUAUCGAUUUCAUUUUUUUAGUUACUCGGUUGGAUGGAGCACGUAUUUCAGUAUUCUAGAACUAUUCUAAAGCGAGGACUUUAAUUGGUACAUCUGUCAAUAAAUAAGUAUUCCAGCACAAAGAAGAUAAAAACUUCGCAUAGAGCAAAAAAGCAAAAGAUUUAAUCUUGAUAUUUGACACCCACAAAAACUGGCCUAUUGAUUCUUUUGGCUUAAAUAGUUUUCAAUAAAAGAUGUCAAAAAAAUUAUCAUAAAGAUAAACUGGCUUUUGGCUAAGAUUUCAUAGCGAUAUCCUUCGAUAUCGAUUUUUUCUAUCAUUGCGAAACAGAAUUUUCCAAGCGUCAAAUUUACGUGAGAGCGUGAGCUAAGUCUAUUGAUGAUUAACUUGCAAUAGUAAUCCUGCUAAAUAUAAAAAAAAUAGAUUCAAACAUUUAGAAUAAUUAUAUUAUGUAUUGAUCUGUUAAAACUCAAUUCUAAACUUUCAUCUUGUUCAUCUUAUCAUAUUAUAUAGUAUAUUAUAUACUAUGGAACAUAUAUAUAAUUUAUGUAUAUCUUGAUAU